UACGGAGGGUGCAAGCGUUAUCCGGAUUCACUGGGUUUAAAGGGUGCGUAGGCGGGUUGGUAAGUCCGUGGUGAAAUCUCCGAGCUUAACUCGGAAACUGCCGUGGAUACUAUCAAUCUUGAAUAUCGUGGAGGUAAGCGGAAUAUGUCAUGUAGCGGUGAAAUGCUUAGAUAUGACAUAGAACACCAAUUGCGUAGGCAGCUUACUACACGAUCAUUGACGCUGAGGCACGAAAGCGUGGGGAGCAAACAGGAUUAGAAACCCCCGUAGUCC
rnacentral:rRNA from 1 species